rnacentral:rRNA from 1 species
GAACGGGUGCGUAACACGUGAGCAACCUACCUAGGUGUGGGGGGAUAGCCGGCCCAACGGCCGGGUAAUACCGCAUACGCUCUUCUUUAGGCAUUUAGAGGAGAGGAAACCUUCGGGGCACUAUGAGGGGCUCGCGGCCCAUCAGCUAGUUGGCGAGGUAAUGGCUCACCAAGGCUACGACGGGUAGCUGGUCUGAGAGGAUGGCCAGCCACAUUGGGACUGAGAAACGGCCCAG